GGUUCGGGAGCCGUGCGGUGGGACGCGCGGCACGAAUGGAACCCCGCCCCUCAUUCGCCGCGUUGCGCCGGUCGGGCCCCGACGACCGCUGCA
rfam:Paracoccus halophilus strain JCM 14014 Contig_4, whole genome shotgun sequence.